UUGGAGGGCAAGUCUGGUGCCAGCAGCCGCGGUAAUUCCAGCUCCAAUAGCGUAUAUUAAAGUUGUUGCAGUUAAAAAGCUCGUAGUUGAAUUUCGGGGUCAGUAGAUUGGUCGUGCCACUGGUAUGUACUGGUCUUACUGGCUCCUCCUUCCUGAUGAACCGUAAUGCCAUUAAUUUGGUGUUGCGGGGAAUCUGGACUGUUACUUUGAAAAAAUUAGAGUGUUUAAAGCAGGCUAACGCUUGAAUACAUUAGCAUGGAAUAAUGAAAUAGGACGUUCGAUCUUAUUUUGUUGGUUUCUAAGAUUGACGUAAUGAUUAAUAGGGAUAGUUGGGGGCAUUAGUAUUCAAUUGUCAGAGGUGAAAUUCUUGGAUUUAUUGAAGACUAACUACUGCGAAAGCAUUUGCCAAGGAUGUUUUCAUUAAUCAAGAACGAAAGUUAGGGGAUCGAAGACGAUCAGAUACCGUCGUAGUCUUAACCAUAAACUAUGCCGACUAGGGAUCGGAUGAUGUUAAUUUUUUAAUGACUCAUUCGGCGCCUUACGGGAAA
rnacentral:rRNA from 1 species